UUACAAACAGUUGACCUGACAUCAGAUGCAUAAAAAAGAGCGAACGUUCUAAAUGUCACGUAAAUCCACGCGUUGCUCAAGGGAAGCGAAAGCUGCCACUGCAGGUUCUUCAUCCGUAGUUUAUAAUAUCAUGAAGCGAUGUUGCAGGGGAACAACCAGCAAAAAAAACCGCAGCGUUUCGAUAGUACCAGUGAAGCGCCAUUGUUCGUCUACAUUAUCGUUUGAUUGGUUUAAAAAAAAUCAACUUAACUUGUA